CCAGGUCCAGCACACAAACUCACAGUAAUGAAUUCAUGAAUAACUCAUUGAUUACAGGUCAGUGUCUUCUUGUCCUGGGGCAAGAAGUUAGGGUUCAAGACCCUUCGGGAUGUGAGGAUGUUUCUGCCACUCUGGACAUUAGUUUUCUCCCCUAAGUGGCUCUAUCUCUCCCGGCCUGAGUUUGGAAGGGAGGCACCAUUCUGGUACGACUUUUCUUAGGCCUGUGCUGCCAUCUAUGGGGCUCGAAGGUGCUCGCCACGCUCCAGACCGGCCACCUGGCAGGCAGGUGAGCUUGCAAGUGUGAAGAGCAGCGGGAUGAGGGGGAGGGAGCAAGCC
rnacentral:lncRNA from 1 species